CUGAGCAUUUCAUACGCAGGCCCAUCCUGUGAACUUUAAGGAUUUGGGCACAGAUGGUGGAUGGGAAUCCAGCCCAGCCCUUCACAAGCUGCCGUCCCGGCAGGAGCCGUUGCUGUGCCGCUGCAGAGGGUGAAGAAAUUGAGGCACAGAAGCGUUUAGGGCUACCAAGGUACCACAGUCUCUAAGAAUCCAGCUUGUCUCCAGGGAAGGGCUGUGCUACCAGUGCUGGAAGAAGAAAAGAAACACCUGUACCCUGGCAUUGACCUUCACAGCCUGAUUAGCUGAAAUCAAAGUAAUGGGGUUAGAUCAGCCUCGGGGCAGGGAAUGGAAGUGGCAGACGGGUGGUGUUUUGGUGGUUCUGCUACGAGGUAGCAGCAUCUGAAGCCCUUGUAGGACCUUCCUCAAAGAACAUGAGCUGGAGUUUGCCAACAGGAGCACAGAGAAGAGCUGAUUCUUGCAGGAACCUCCAGAUGCUAUUGUAGUGUGUAGGGAUGAAAAUAAUAAUAA